CGGGUCUCCCAGUUCUCCAGUUGGGGCGCGGAAAGGAAAUGGCGAGAAAGCUGGGUCUGAAGAAUACGAGGCGGAUGAACAGAGGCUCAGCAGGGUUGUGUUAAGUUGCCCAAGGUUGUACAGCUGCUAAAUGACGGAGUGAAGAGUUGAAUCUGGAACACAGCCAGAGGGCAACAGCCUAUGCCUGUCUUGCUCACCAGAUGUCCUAGAUGUCCAGAGCAGUGCCAGGCACAAGGUGACAAAAUUGAGGACCAUGGAAACUGAGUGACUAGCCCAAGGUCACCUAGCAAAUGGCAGAGCCAGGAUUUGAACUGAAACUCAUUUAAUUCCGUGUUAUGUGCUUUUUGUAUUAAACCUUUGCAUUGCC